UUCCCCCUUGAGCACACAUACUAAAAUUGGAAUGAUACAGAAAAGAUUUGCAUGGUCCCUGCGCAAGGAUGACAUGAAAAUUCGUGUAGCGUUCCUGGAGAAG